rnacentral:rRNA from 1 species
GCAAGUCGAGCGAGACGGUUAAGAAGGAUCCUUCGGGUGACUGAUUAGCUAGACAGCGGCGGACGGGUGAGUAACGCGUGGAUAACCUGCCUUAUACUGGGGGAUAACGUUUAGAAAUGAACGCUAAUACCGCAUAAGAGCACAAGACCGCAUGGUCUAGUGUGAAAAACUCCGGUGGUUUGAGAUGGUUCCGCGUCAGAUUAGCUAGUUGGUGAGAUAAAAGCUCACCAAGGCAACGAUCUGUAGCCGACCUGAGAGGGUGAUC